rnacentral:lncRNA from 1 species
UAGCUUCAGCUUUCUUAUCUGUACUGGACUAUUUUUAAUUAGCAUCUUUAUAGUUUCAUCCGAUUCCAGAUGGAGUUGGAGUCCUUCCUGCUAGUGCUUUGCCUUCCAUUUACAGGGUUGGAGUACUAUUAGUUGCCUAUGGAUAAGUAGUCUUUGUUGCCUAUUCAAUCGCAAAAUAAAGAGAAGCCUAUACAGUAGUAUAUGUAUACCUUACAUAUCCUGCAAUUCCUUAUGCCUUCGAUCGAGUUGGAGUUUCAUGCCUCACAUACAGUGCUAGUUUCCUAUAAGGCAUUGGGAGUUCUCUCUCUGAAUCUAGUGG